rnacentral:rRNA from 1 species
CCCUUAGAUGUUCUGGGCCGCACGCGCGUUACAAUGGUCUUCGCAAACGGAUGCAUUCUCGAAGGAGAAUGCCAAUCUUGGAAUCUAUGCCUUGGUCGGGACAGUUGCUUGCAAUUUUUCGACUCGAACCAGGAAUUCCUUGUAAUCGUGAUUCAUCACAUCACGAUGAAUACGUCCCUGCCCUUUGUACACACCGCCCGUCGCUCCUACCGAUCGAAGAGUUAGGUGAAUUGUUUUGAUCGAUAAGAUUUGACUAUGGUCAACUCUCGUUGUGAAAUUCUGUGAAUCUGACUGUUUAGAGGAAGGAAAAGUCGUAACA